ACACUGCUUUAAUGGUUCUUUACCCUGUGGAUCCAGUGGACAGUGUAUCCCAGUAACACACCGAUGUGACGGUGACAUUGACUGUAGAGAUUUCAAAUCAGAUGAAUCGAGCUGCUCAGAAUGUCCUAAUGCCUAUUGUAAAAAUGGAGGAACAUGUAUUAUCGAUAACAGAAUUGCAAUGUGCAAGUGCACAAGCCAAUGGAGAGGAAAUCGAUGCCACAUUCAGGUCAAACCAGCAGGAUCACUGAGUCCUGCUCCAGUAACAAAGAAGGAUGGAAAUGUGUCCAUGUGGGUAGGACUGAGUGUUGGCUUGAGUUUAGUUGUGCUCAGUCUGAUCGCUGUCUUGGUCAUACUUUCAAGAAAGAAAACAAG